UAAUAUGCACUCAACUAUGGCCCCCCCCCCCCCCCCCCGAGUAGAUAAGGGCUAGGCAAAUAUCAUCAGUGUUUCCUAGUCAAAGGUCGCGCGGUCGGUAGAACAUUAUCUCGUAUCUACUAAAACCUCAACAAAGCCCAGUCCUGCCUUGUCUCGUAUAAAAUAUACGUUACACUCAUUUCGAAUGCAACGCGUCUUAUCGCCUCAGCACACAGCGGACAAUCGAGCCAGCCCAUUCCACCCCAGGAGGAGGUCAGAGAUAUCCCACUCUAUAUGGCAACUCAUAGCCAAGAACCUAGUCCGAUCCGCCACGUGUUCCGGUGGGGGUGCAAAUGCUCAGCGAGCAUGACCGGCCUGCUAAGUAACGCUCGAAAGUGGCGUAAGAUAUUUUUUUGAAACAUUCUCGGCUCCGUAAGAAAAUUACCAUAAAAACUGUUCGGCGCACGGAACUGUGACCGCAAUUUUGGAAGUUUUGCUAGGCAGGUGUGCUGCGACUAAGGACAUUUCAGGGGUUCAACCCAACUUGUUGUGGGAGUGGCUCACUAAGAACUAAUAACUUUUAAUAGGACAUUUAUAAAUGACUUUUUGGUAUCUUGGAUCUUUUGCUCGGACAAAUUGCGGUCGGAUCGGUGGUUAUUGAUGGAUUUUCCUUAAAGUGGAAUGCAAAUAGUCGGGCAAGUAUGCAAAUAUUUGGACUGGCUACCGUACAGGCUAAUCCUUUGCUGAUCCUGUGGCUACUGUGCUACUUUCCAUUCAAGCGAUCAAUCAUGGAAAAGGCACUUGUGCUGACCAACACAAGCAACUAGCAUGACAACUCAUUUUAUUAGAACAGUCUCUCCGGUGGACAAACAUCCAAGGAGGUUGUGUGAAAUGGUUCCCUGUUCCUGGUAAACGCGUGGAAAACGUGUUUUGGAAAAUACUCAUUGUUGGCUCAGCGUGAUGCGAGGAACUCGUUUUAUCAGCCAAGAAAUUAUAAAUAUUUAUGAAAAACCUUUUGAGCGAACGCGGACCCAAGGAAAGAUAAACAAACAGAGGCACGGAGUCAAGAAGUUGUCAAACGCAAAGUAUCUUAGGUCAGGAAAGCAGAUCAGUCAGAGAUGUAUCUCCUGGUGUCUAUUUGUACAUGCUAUCUGGCUAUCUGGCGCAGAACUACCCCAAGAACGGAGGAAACCUCAGUCACUUUGUUGGAUACAUAUUCGGCGCAUUAGAUGACUUUAGAUGACUGGGGAGUCCCCAUCUCCCCGAACAAACUCAAAUAAUAAUAAAAAACGCAUUUAUGACUCGACUUCAUCGGGUGAGAAACGCCAUAAAGCAGCGAGGCAAUCGGCGUCGGCGAUCGUUUAACGUAGGAAAAUACAGAAAACCGAAAUCCUUUCGAAAAUCAUCCACAAAACAGGUUGGAAAAGGGAGUCCGAUAUAGUAAGAUGGCCAUAAAAUGCAGGUAGACCGCUCGGUCAUUUGGGGGUUUUCAAUCACAAGACGAAUUU
ensembl:ncRNA lncRNA:CR44292 long non-coding RNA:CR44292